UGAGAUACCUAUGAGGUUUUAAUUUAGUGAGAACCCCAUUCUUGUGCAUUUUAUUCUUUCCCAGAUGUACCACGAGUGACGACAAAAAAUUUGAAUUCAACAAGAACUUUCAUCUCAUCCUUCACACUAAUCUGGCUAACCCUCACUUGCAAGCCAGAACUGCCUGUUCAGACCACCUUCAUUAAUUUCACUGUCACCAGGGACAGGAUGGAAGACCAGCUGUUGCCUGAGGUUAUUAAUGCUGAAAGGCAAGACUCACAGAAAACAUAAGUUUUCACACCUGCUUUCCUGGGAGACUGAAGUUUGGCCUUUGGGGCUGGAAUGGAAGGGACCCGAUGGGCACCAGAGAUCUCCGUCUGUGUCCCUGUCCUCAGCUACCACCCAGAGCCCCGCAAGAAGGUGGGUUGCACAGGGAGACUUGCAUAACCUCCUCGGGGAGAUCAUGUCAGGUGGCCACAUCACGGGGACUGCAGGCUCUGCUGGACCUGUCUGCAAGAGUUCCUCAGCCCAGUCCUGCUGAGAGCUUUCACACAUGCCUAAAGCUCUUGAACAGGUACAGAGUGUGUUUAACCUAAGGGAAAGAGAAGACCACAUGCUUUCUCAUCCAGGCAGCCCCACCUGUGGCAAGGUUUCCUUGUGGGGGGAACAAAUUUGUCGAUGAUUUAUCAUGAGCAGAUUUUGGCUGUGAGGGUUUGUGAGUUGGCAUACUGCUUGUCUACUUUUGCAAGUACUAUUAAUUGGUUACUUGAAUUCAGGACUUCAUAACACUGCUUGUAUAGCGAGCUUAAUGACAUUGGAUACACCUAGGUUUCCAUUUUACUAGGAAAACUAUUUUAAGGUGCUUCCAUUUAGAAAGUUUUGGGUAGGCAUGGGAAAGUAUCUCUUAUGGAACAGCACUUUAACCAAAGUAACUGAUAGACUCACCAGUCAGACCAGUUUCAGCAGUCCAGAAUGGCACUAUCUUCAGAACUUACACUUACUCUUCGCACAUUUUCUUCCACAAAAAAAAAAUAAUGGGAAUUUUAUACAUUUCCUUGUGUCUCACUCCUAAAAUAAGAAAAGUACCUUGUAAGACUGUUUUUAAUUUUCCACUACCCUCUCACACAUCUGUUUCUGUAGCUUUGUCAGGUUAUCACCAACUGACACAUACUGAAUUAUUCAAAUUUCAUUAGUGAGUUUUCAUUCUGGACAGCAGUGUAUGUGGAGCAUCCAUGACUCCAAAGGGCCAGCCUGCCAAAGUUGCUUCUAAUCAGCAGCAAAUGCUAAAAUUUUUGAGGCUACAAAAAGAAAAUGUUGCUUUAACUUUAGUUCUCAGAAGUUUUGCAUGGAAACAGCUUUAAUCUAUUUCCAUAUACACAGCUAUAAAAAAUGUGGAUGUUUAUGCAGG
rnacentral:lncRNA from 1 species